rnacentral:rRNA from 1 species
CGAACGCUGGCGGCGUGCUUAACACAUGCAGGUCGAACGGCAAGGCCCUGCUUUUGUGGGGUGCUCGAGUGGCGAACGGGUGAGUAACACGUGAGUAACCUGCCCUUGACUUUGGGAUAACUUCAGGAAACUGGGGCUAAUACCGGAUAGGAGCUCCUGCUGCAUGGUGGGGGUUGGAAAGUUUCGGCGGUUGGGGAUGGACUCGCGGCUUAUCAGCUUGUUGGUGGGGUAGUGGCUUACCAAGGCUUUGACGGGUAGCCGGCCUGAGAGGGUGACCGGCCACAUUGGGACUGAGAUACGGCCCAGACUCCUACGGGAGGCAGCAGUGGGGAAUAUUGCACAAUGGGCGGAAGCCUGAUGCAGCAACGCCGCGUGCGGGAUGACGGCCUUCGGGUUGUAAACCGCUUUCGCCUGUGACGAAGCGUGAGUGACGGUAAUGGGUAAAGAAGCACCGGCUAACUACGUG